UUUUAUGAGAGUUUGAUCCUGGCUCAGGACGAACGCUGGCGGCGUGCCUAAUACAUGCAAGUCGUACGCUUCUUUUUCCACCGGAGCUUGCUCCACCGGAAAAAGAAGAGUGGCGAACGGGUGAGUAACACGUGGGUAACCUGCCCAUCAGAAGGGGAUAACACUUGGAAACAGGUGCUAAUACCGUAUAACAAUCGAAACCGCAUGGUUUUGAUUUGAAAGGCGCUUUCGGGUGUCGCUGAUGGAUGGACCCGCGGUGCAUUAGCUAGUUGGUGAGGUAACGGCUCACCAAGGCCACGAUGCAUAGCCGACCUGAGAGGGUGAUCGGCCACAUUGGGACUGAGACACGG
rnacentral:rRNA from 1 species